UACACUCCUACGGGAGGCAGCAGUGGGGAAUUUUGGACAAUGGGCGAAAGCCUGAUCCAGCAAUGCCGCGUGUGUGAAGAAGGCCUUCGGGUUGUAAAGCACUUUUGUCCGGAAAGAAAUCCUUGGCUCUAAUACAGUCGGGGGAUGACGGUACCGGAAGAAUAAGCACCGGCUAACUACGUGCCAGCAGCCGCGGUAAUACGUAGGGUGCGAGCGUUAAUCGGAAUUACUGGGCGUAAAGCGUGCGCAGGCGGUUUGCUAAGACCGAUGUGAAAUCCCCGGGCUCAACCUGGGAACUGCAUUGGUGACUGGCAGGCUAGAGUAUGGCAGAGGGGGGUAGAAUUCCACGUGUAGCAGUGAAAUGCGUAGAGAUGUGGAGGAAUACCGAUGGCGAAGGCAGCCCCCUGGGCCAAUACUGACGCUCAUGCACGAAAGCGUGGGGAGCAAACAGGAUUAGAAACCCGAGUAGUCCCAUGA
rnacentral:rRNA from 1 species